UGAAACGCGCAGAAACAGGAAUGCAGUUGACUGUUAAUCAAUUGGUCGUAGGUUCGAUCCCUACCGCCGGAGCCA
rnacentral:tRNA from 1 species